rnacentral:rRNA from 1 species
GACGAACGCUGGCGGCGUGCCUAAUACAUGCAAGUCGAACGCAGUGGGGACGGGUGAGUAACACAUGGGUAACCUCCCAUCAGAGGGGAUAACACUUGGAAACAGGUGCUAAACCGCUACUGCUGGAGGGACCCGCGGUGAUUUCGCGAGUUUGAGAGGUAAGGGCUCACCAAGGACCCGAUGCAUAGGCUACCUGAGAGGGUGAUCGGCCACACUGGGACUGAGACACGGCCCAGACUCCUACGGUAGGCAGCAGUAGGGAAUCUUCGGCAAUGGACGAAAGUCUGACCGAGCAACGCCGCGUGAGUGAAGAAGGUUUUCGGAUCGUAAAACUCUGUUGUUAGAGAAGCGGUAGCUAACCAGAAAGCCACGGCUAACUACGUGCCAGCAGCCGCGGUAAUUC